rnacentral:rRNA from 1 species
AGCGAACGCUGGCGGCAUGCUUAACACAUGCAAGUCGCACGGGCAGCACUUUCUUUGGCGGACGGCUGAGUUACGCGUAGGAACGUUUCCUGAGGUGUGGGACAACCUCGGCUAACUGGGGCUAUUACCGCAUAUGGGCUAAUGCCCAAAGCCGAGGGCCGCCUUUGGAGCGGCCUGCGUCCGAUUCGGUGGUUGGUGGGGUAAAGGCCUCCCAAGCCUGGGAUCGGUGGCUGGUCUGAGAGGACGACCAGCCACACUGGGACUGAGACACGGACCAGACUCCUACGGGAGGGAGCAGUGGGGAAUAUUGGACAAGGGGCGAAAGUGUGACAAAGCAAUGCCGCGUGGGUGAAGAAGGUGUUCGGAUAGUAAAGCCCUUUCGAAGGGGACGAGGAUGACGGUACCCGUAGAAGAAGCACCGGCUAACUUCGUG